rnacentral:lncRNA from 10 species
UCUGGAUUUAAAAUCUCCUUACUAAUUAAGUACUGUUUUAACUGGGGGCAGAAUGUGUGCCUUAAAAGAACGUAGGGACCUAAUGGCUGUUUUCCUGCUGAUGGGACAGUAUCAGAACUAAAAUUUGGCUUUGGAGGACAUUUUACUCCUAAUUGUUGAAGGCAGUGUUUUCGCAUUCACAGAAGGGGCAUAAAGCCUGGUCUCUAGUAUAGGGGUGCAAAAAGGGAGGAGAAUUGGGAGGCUAGAGUGUUACAGCAAUGGACCAACGCUGUGCCUCAUGGAGAGGAUUCCUAUUCCACUAGGUGGCGACGUUGACCUAGAAAUACCGUGCGCUUCCCAGAGGAAGGGUAGAGGGAGAAAUGCUUAUUGAGAAGGGCUCUUUGCUCCUAGAAAAUGACAGAAAACAGCAUUCCCUUGUGCUAUAUUCUCAGUUACUAUGGCAUUCGCUAAUCUUUCCUAACAGGACUAUUUUCCUGAACUGUAAAAAUUCUCAAACACUGCAUACACAGAGAGGAUAGGAGACAUGGCCUUUGCGGAUAGGAAAUGAGGAAAUUUUGCGAUAGGACAGCUGUAGAUCCUGUUGCGGACACCCAGCCGGGCAGUUGGAGGUGGGGUCAGUCCAGAAGCCUUCAGAUAACACCAGGGUGUAGUCCUGGCGAGAAAUCUUCAGUUGCUUCAGGACCUUUUCUAGCCCCACGCGACGGCUAGGUCCUCCGUGAGAGAAAACUGGUUCGAGAAGCAUGGCCAACAUUCCCAAUGAUCCGCAGAUGUGGUUUCCACCUGGCCGGUGCCAUGACACCCACACACAUGGCGACAAGGAGAAGGGAGAAGAAAACCUAUUUGUUGUAUAUACCUGGCUUUUGGCACAGCUGCCGGGAUUCACCUGUGCAAGUUUCCAGCUUGCUUAUCUAUGCUUGCAGCUUGAUUUUUCAGGCUACUUUCUGUUAGAAAAGAAAUGAUUUGGGGGCUGCUUUCUAUUAAAAGAAAAACCUUACCAAGGACUCCUGUACCCUCACUAUCUGCCUAAAUAAUUUCUUAACGCCUAUAUUAUUCCCUUUAAAUAAAUUUUUUUGUGGUGUUUGUCUUAUUGUUAUUAGGUUAUGAGAAUUCAUUAUACAUUCAAGAAAUAUAUAAUUCAUUAUAUAAAAAUAGUUUUAUAAAUUAAAUAUAAAUAUAUAAAUAUAUAAUUUAUUACAUAGUCAGGAAAUAUAUUCAGUCCUUUUUGGGAAAUAUUUUCUCUCAGUCUAUAGUUUGUCCUUUCUUAUACUUAACAGUAUGUUUUUUAGAGCAGAAGGUUUUACUUUAAAAAAUUAUUAAUAUUAUUUUGACUGAUAUCUUUGACUAGAACAUUACUGGUGUAUAGAAAUGGCACUGAUAUCUGUACAUUAAUUUUGUAUCUUUAAACUUUAACUGAAUUCAUUUAUCAAAUCUAAGCGAUUUUUGGUGGAGUCUUUAGGGUUUUCCAAAUAUAAGAUUAUAUCGUCAGUGAACAGGGAUAAUUUGACUUCCUCUUUUUUAAUUUGGAUGUCUUUUAUAUUUUUCUCUUGUCUGAUUGCUUUGGUGAGGACUUCCAGUACCAUGUUGAAUAAGAGUGGUGAAAGUAGGCAACUUUGUCUUGUUCCAGUUCUUGGAGGGAAUGCUUUCAACUUUUUCCCAUUUGGUAUGAUGUUGGCUAUGAGUUUAUUAUAUGUGACUCUUAUUAUUUUGAUUUAUGUUCCUUUGAUGCCUAGUUUGGUGAGGGUUUUUAUGAUAAAGGGAUGCUUAAUUUUAUCAAAUGCUUUUUUAGCAUCUAUUAGAUGAUCAUAUGAUUUUUGUUCUUAAUUCUGUUUAUGUGAUGUAUCUUAUUUGUUGAUUUGCAAAUGUUGAAGCAUUCAUGCAUUUCUGGUAUAAAAGUCACUUGAUUGUGGUGUAUUAUCUUUUCAAUGUGUUGUUGAAUUUGGUUUGCUGAUGUUAAAUACAGUGAAUUCUAAAUUUCUCUUCAAAGGAUCAGUAUGUCAGUAUGUUCAGUUCUUUGUUCUCCAUUUUAAAGUUUAACUUCCUCAUUCUCCUCAUCUCCUUGCCUCUAGUUUCAGUAAACAACCUUUUACACCAGUUCUAAUCAGUAGUUCACAUCUGUUCCCCUGCUCACCUGCUCUGCCCUGAGUCACUCCUGGUCACCUGCUCUGUCCUGAGUCACCUCUGGUCACCUGCUUUGACCUGAGUCACCUUUAGUCACCUGUUCUGUAACCAUCCUUCCCACCAAAACUGCUCACCCCACCACUCUGGUUCAUAACCCUGCUCUCUUUAAAAUAGCCAGGCAGAAUUAGCUUAGACUGUGUGGUUCAACCCUUGCCAACAGGGGAAUGACACAGCAGUAGGGGCUACCUGCAUCAGGGAUAAGACCCCCUUCUCCUUCUUUGUUCAGGUGUGCUCUUGCCAUUGCUCCAUCUGUGAGAUGCACCCUUCUACAGAAGUAAAUUGCCUUGCUGAGAAAAUUUAUGCUCGAGUGCUGUUUCUUUUGCAGCACUGAAAUACAAAUACAAAUUUGAGGGCUCAUCCAGGAUUCCCAUUCUCUUCUGGGGAGGGUCUAG